GAUGAACGCUGGCGGCGUGCCUAAUACAUGCAAGUCGAGCGAACAGAUGAGGAGCUUGCUUCUCUGACGUUAGCGGCGGACGGGUGAGUAACACGUGGAUAACCUACCUAUAAGACUGGGAUAACUUCGGGAAACCGGAGCUAAUACCGGAUAAUAUAUUGAACCGCAUGGUUCAAUAGUGAAAGACGGUUUUGCUGUCACUUAUAGAUGGAUCCGCGCUGCAUUAGCUAGUUGGUAAGGUAACGGCUUACCAAGGCAACGAUGCGUAGCCGACCUGAGAGGGUGAUCGGCCACACUGGAGCUGAGACACGGUCCAGACUUCUACGGGAGGCAGCAGUAGGGAAUCUUCCGCAAUGGGCGAAAGCCUGACGGAGCAACGCCGCGUGAGUGAUGAAGGUCUUCGGAUCGUAAAACUCUGUUAUUAGGGAAGAACAAAUGUGUAAGUAACUGUGCACAUCUUGACGGUACCUAAUCAGAAAGCCACGGCUAACUACGUG
rnacentral:rRNA from 1 species